AUUGAACGCUGGCGGCAGGCCUAACACAUGCAAGUCGAACGAGUGGCGGACGGGUGAGUCAUGUCUGGGAAACUGCCUGAUGGAUGGGGCUAACUACUGGAAACGUUAGCUAAUACCGCAUACCAUCUGAUUUCCCCAGAUGGGAUUAGCUAGUAGGUGGGGUAAAGGCUGCCCUAGGCGACGAUCCCUAGCUGGUCUGAGAGGAUGACCAGCCACACUGGAACUGAGACACGGUCCAGACGCCUACUGGAGGCAUCAGUGGGGAAUAUUGGACAAGGGGCGCAAUCCAGAUGCAGCCAUGCCGCGUGUAUGAAGAAGGCCUUCGGGUUGUAAAGUACUUUCAGCGGAGAGGCGUUACCCGCAGAAGAAGCACCGGCUAACUCCGUGCCAGCAGCCGCGGUAAUUC
rnacentral:rRNA from 1 species